GAUGAACGCUAGCGGCAGGCUUAAUACAUGCAAGUCGUGGGGCAGCAGGUUUGUAGCAAUACAGAUGCUGGCGACCGGCAAACGGGGUGCGGAACACGUACAGAACCUUCCUUUGAGCGGGGAAUAGCCCAGAGAAAUUUGGAUUAAUACCCCAUAGUAUAAUGAAGUGGCAUCACUUUAGUAUUAAAGAUUUAUCACUCGAAGAUGGCUGUGCGGCUGAUUAGGUAGUUGGCGGGGUAAAGGGCCCACCAAGCCUGCGAUCAGUAACUGGUGUGAGAGCACGACCAGUCACACGGGCACUGGGACACGGGCCCGACUCCUACGGGAGGCAGCAGUAAGGAAUAUUGGUCAAUGAGGGCAACUCUGAACCAGCCAUGCCGCGUGGAGGAUGAA
rnacentral:rRNA from 1 species